rnacentral:rRNA from 1 species
UACGUAGGGUGCGAGCGUUGUCCGGAAUUACUGGGCGUAAAGAGCUCGUAGGUGGUUUGUCGCGUUGUUCGUGAAAACCGGGGGCUUAACCCUCGGCGUGCGGGCGAUACGGGCAGACUUGAGUACUGCAGGGGAGACUGGAAUUCCUGGUGUAGCGGUGGAAUGCGCAGAUAUCAGGAGGAACACCGGUGGCGAAGGCGGGUCUCUGGGCCGAUACUGACGCUGAGGUGCGAAAGCGUGGGGAGCAAACAGG